AUUUGCUUUCAGCCGCAGAGAGAAGAAGCUGCCCAAGAAUGGAAAGGAAGAAAUAUAUCACAUCAUCUGUCUGUCCACAGGCUUUCCUUGGGGCUUAUGAAGUGAAUGAAGGAGGGAAGAAAGGAGAGACAGAGAAAAUAUGGAUUUCCUCAUGGUUGUGAUUCCUCUUCACUCUUUUGAAUUUGGAAGGAUGGCAUACACAUCUGAAAAAUACCACUACUUCCUUCAUUGGACUGCAAGGUAUUUCUGUUUGGAAAAGUAAUGGAGUCCAGUCAACUUCAUUGAUCGCCAAGGACUGUCAAAAUUAUAAAACUUGCUGUGGAGCUCUGACAUGCCAGAAGCCGCUAGAAAAAGAAGUUUGACAUUCAGAAACUUAUCAAGAGGUUCUACUCUUUGGAUAGAGACCAAAAUCAUACUUUGAAGGGAUUGCAGUGGCAAAGCUAGGCUAGGUCUUGGAGGCUGGUGUAAGGCGAUGUGGGUGAAGGCAGGAGGCUGAUGGAAAGACUGGGGGGAAGAAAAGCCGAAAUGGAUUCACGGUGCCUUGGAUGAAGGACGAGAGGGGAACUGCAAGCUCCUUCAACUGGUUCUGUCCGGUGAGAAGUGAUCAAG
ensembl:lncRNA SOX2-OT SOX2 overlapping transcript